AUAAUUCGUUUUCCACAGGACCAUACUAUAUCCAUACUAUUUCAGAGUUCAGAGUUGCUCCUCCUCUUUCCCUACUUGAUGGUACCAUCAACGCCCUGUUCCGUCUUUGUCAUUUACUAAACGAAAAAUAUAGAAAAUAUUUUUUGGAGAGUAAAGGGAUUGGAUACCAACGCUUAUGCAGCUGCAUGAAGAAUUAUAAUUUUUCUUUUGAAAGUCACCAUCUACAAGGUCAAAAUGGAGAAUGUUGGUAAUAUAGGUAGCCGUAAACGUGUGGCAGGGAACCAUUAUUCAGCAGAAGAGCAGGCUUUGGAUCAGAUAGCAAAAGAGGCAGAGUCCAGGCUUGUAGCAAGAAGGCUUGCUAGGGCAGAAGCACGUGAAAUUCGAAUGAGAGAACUUGAAAAACAGCAGAAAGAAAUGGAGGAAAAUGCUGAUCGUCAGUUUACUGCUGAAAGUGGCAUAGAAACAAACCCAAAACUACAAGUAAACAGAACUAUUAGCGCUGGUGUAACUUCAGCAGUAAAUAGACCUAUGCUUGGAACAUCAGCCAGUUUCCAGUCCAGUCGCAGAGGUUCAGAAGACUCUAUAGAUGAUAUUCCAGGACAAUCAAUGACUUUAAGAGAUCUUCGGCAAGAACUUAAAGAAUUAGAAGAGAAAUUUCGAAAAGCUAUGGUACAGAAUGCCCAGUCUGAUAAUGAAAAGGCUUCUUUGAUAUAUCAAGUGGAAUUAUUCAAAGACAAAAUUGAAGAUAUGGAUGAAGCAUAUGCUCUUCUUCAAAAAGAACACAAAGAUAAGCAUCGCGAGUGCGAAGACUCUAAGAGAGAUAUGGCGAGAAUCCAGCAAGAGCUUAAUUAUAACAGGUAUCUUCUUGAGGAGCGUGAUAAAAUGAUUCAGGAACAUGGUUUAGUUAUGAUCGGUGAUGACGAAGAGGGUGAUGACAACGGACCUACCACCAUAACCAAUACUGUAAAGAAAGUCUUAGUCUCAGCCGAUGUGGCUGCGUUGUUGGGAAAGGCCGGUGAUGGAUCUCUCGACGUACGGAUUCGUCGACUGACUGAAGAGAAAAACGAGUUAUGUGACCAAUUACGACGACUUAAACUGGACUUAGAAGAAGAACGCACAAAAUCGUUAUACCGAGAACGGCUUGUUUCUGGCUCUACCGUUAACGUGACUAAUGGUCCCGCUGGUGAUCUUACGGAAUGGCAGAAGGAAGCAGUUACAAAACAGGUUAAUGACUACAAGAUCAAACUCCAGAAAGCUGACCAAGAAAUUGCAACUCUUCAAGCAACGGUUGCCCGUCUAGAAACACAAGUGACUCGAUUCAAGGUGGCUGCCGAAGCGUCGGAAAAAUCCGAAGAUGAAUUGAAAGCUGAAAAACGUAAACUUCAAAGAGAGCUACGAGAAUUAAAACAACUCCUCGAUGAAACGGACACGGCGCGUCGUACACUACAGCGCCAGUAUGACAAGCUGAAACAUGGGCGUUAGAGCUCUCAUUUCGCACAGAUCGUCUUCAAAUUUUAGUUUUCUUUUCCCAGUAAAAGUAACCGUAACUUUCACAAUAUGGGAUUACUGAAUCAAACACUACAGCUAAGAGAGACCCAAACAAAAAUGGAAGAACUUGAGACCUCGCACAAUCACCUGCAGCGGCGGUUGGAUAAGUUGAAAACUGCAAAAUCGGCUCUUUUAAAAGAAAUUUGAAUUCAGACUUUCCAAGCUUUACUACCUAGCCUUAUACUCGUUAUUUAUUUUCGUUGUACGAUGAAUUAAAAGACAAUACCUUUGGUCGCCGUA